CCUCUAUCUAUCUCUCUUUCACCGUCUUCUUCUUCUCCCAGAAACCCUAGUUCACAGAAACCCUAGACUGAAAAUUGCUCGUUUUCUUUGUCUGUGAGGAUGGUAUCGCUAAGCUGUAAAAGUAGUACCACAUGCUAAUUCAGGAUUUGAUCUCGCGUGGAAAGAGUUUCAUUCAAUCUUCACCGGCAGAAACCCAGGUCUGUGGUCUCUCUGUUAUUCGUUUCGGAUGAAUCUGUAAGUAACUUUUGUGGGUUUUAUCAUGUUUGGUUAGUCGUUGAAUAAAAAUCUGUACUUUACCCAAUUUGACCAGCCAUUGUUGUUUACUUUCUCUCUGUAUGAUGCUGAUAGGUGAGAGUUUGUUGUUUUCUUGAUUGUUUGAUGUAUAUUGAUUGAUGGUAAUGGAUUAUAUUGAAUGAGAUGGGAUAUUGAAUCUGAGGAAAUGAUUCAAUUACUGAUGGUAAUGGCCAAGUUUCUUAAGGUGUAGUUAACAAUGUCUCCGAUGAUCAAUCCAAACUCAGGACUGAAUAUUCUGUUCCUCAGACUGCCUUCUUUAAAGAGAUUCAUUGUAACAAGUGAAGCCAGCAGCAGUCAACAGCAAGUCCCUCCUGCAUUCAAGAACUUUUCAAUGUCGCAAAAGGACAUAACUCUUGAUGAGCUUGUGAAGGACAACUGGCUGUGCCCCACAAGAGACUGUAACACUGGACUUACUAUAAAAUCUCUUCUUGACCUGCGCAGUUGUUUCAGGGACUAUGAAGUUCCUUCAAGCGAGGUUUGCAAUGAAGCUGGAGUAAAGGUCUCUGCAUUCUGAAGAAAAUUUGAUUGGAUUCACAUAAUUUUUUUAAUCACAUAUAUGUUAGGUGCUGAUUUCGAUCUGAUGCGUUGUAUUCUAGCACUUGUUUCCAGGCGGAUUUGUGUCCAAACAAGAUGAUAGAGUGUGCUCUCGUUGUGGGAAGUCAUGGCCUUUGGGUAGAGUUACCACUUACCACAGCAGUGAAUGAUCAUGAGGAGGAAACCAAUGCUCAAGCCACAGCCUUAAGUUCUAAUAAAAAGAACACCUAGGAGCCAAAGAGACUUAGCUGAAAACAUUUCUUCUCAAGCUUCCUUAGCCUUGAGUAGUGGUACCACUUGGAGAAGGUACACUAUGAGAAGGUACACUGCGAGAAGAGUAACUCGUAGCGUUGCACACUUGAUGGAUAUUUUGAUGCCUGCUACUGUGUCUAAACAUCACUGGCAAUUUGUCUGCUCUAAUGUUUUCUCCUGUGGAACACUGAUGGAGUUCAAACUCUUUGGUUUUAAGCCUACCAUAUAUUUAAAUUGAAAAUCAGAGAAUUUGUUUUC